CCUACGGGUGGCAGCAGUGAGGAAUAUUGGUCAAUGGGCGCGAGCCUGAACCAGCCAAGUCGCGUGAGGGAAGACGGUCCUAUGGAUUGUAAACCUCUUUUGUCGGGGAGCAAAAGACGCCACGCGUGGCGUUCCGAGAGUACCCGAAGAAAAAGCAUCGGCUAACUCCGUGCCAGCAGCCGCGGUAAUACGGAGGAUGCGAGCGUUAUCCGGAUUUAUUGGGUUUAAAGGGAGCGUAGGCCGCAUGGCAAGCGUGCUGUGAAAUGUGCGGGCUCAACCCGGGCCUUGCCGCGGGAACUGGCGUGCUGGAGUGCGCGGAGAGCAGGCGGAAUUCGUGGUGUAGCGGUGAAAGGCUUAGAGAUGACGAAG
rnacentral:rRNA from 1 species